GGGCCCUUGAUUGGUGGUGGAAGGAGAGGAAGCCGGUCAACCAGUGAGCAGCGUGGGGUGGGGCAGGGGUCAGCUGUCUGUCCCAGGAUGUGCUUUCUAUCUACUGCCUCCAGGCUCCUCCCCCCCCCCCUCAAGGUAACUAGAGACCACAGCAGGUGGAGAAGACUCCGGUUCAUGCCGUACCCCUGCUCCUCUGGGUACCUAUUUCAAAGGUCCUACCGGAACCCACGAAGGAUCUUCCCACAGGCUUCAGGCAAGGACCACCCCUGUCCAGCAAGCCUCAGACCACAGGAGGCUCACAGGGCCUGCGAGGACCUGCCCACCCCCGGGGCUUUGCCUAUCCAGGCCAGCACUCUAUCUGUCACUGCUGUUCAGUCGAGACUCAAGUUCCGCAUAGACGGCCGACAUCUGGGGAGCAAUGAAGAGUCAGCCUUCUCCCACUGCUUCCCUGCCGUCUCCAUAGGACCUCAGGGACGAUGCAUUGCCGGCUUGCCCCAGCCUGAAACGGCCCACGCACUGGCCACGCAGCCCAUGCUCAUUGGUUACAUCUGGUAGGCAGAGAGGUCUCACCAUUUUGGGGUUGGGGGUCUCCGGGAGGGAUGUGCCAUCACCAGCCUGACGCUCCCCUGGCAUCAGAGGUAGGGGCAUCUCAGGGCAGUCAGCGGGACCUGCCAGGAAGGUGCCAUGGAAACCUCGUUAUUAUAUCUGAACUCUAUGGCUCCAUCCGGAUCUGCCCGGCCCCCACUCAGCCUCACUAGCCCCGAUUUCCUCAAUGAGAUGAUUAGUCUAGGCUGUCAGCCCAGUGGGUUCUGGAAUCAGCUCAGUCACAUUUCUGGGUGGGUCUGUGAAUGUACGGCCUGGAGGGAUUAACUGGGAAAAGAAGAGUCAUCUACUCCAGGGUGGGCAGGGCCUUCCUGAAGCAGCUCAGAUAUAAAGAGAUGAUUGGAAGACAGUGUUUUGCCCGUCUGCCUUUCCUCCUUGCGGGCCAGCGCAUCUGUUCUAUUGCUGCUGUGGCUGCUGCAUCCAUCAGAACCUGGAUUCUUCAGGCUCCCAAUGUAGACCGGAUCAGCGGCUCUUUGGAAUCCUCCGGGCCUUCAGCGCUGAAUGGGGACUGCUGACGCCGACUGCUCAGGGACUGAGCAGCUAGUGGGCAUCCAGCCUCUCCAGCAUGAGAUGGCCAUGGUUGGACUGCUCAUCCCUGAUCGCAAAAGCCAAUCUAAGAAACCCCCUUGGGGCUUGGCACUCACUCUAUGAGCUCUGUCCCUCUAGAGAACCCUGGCUAGCACAUUCAUCAUGUCACUAAGUCCAUUUUACAGAAGAGGGAGCAGCCCCAGCCUUUCCACGUGUGGCCUUACCACAGCUGAGGCUGGCUUCUAGGCCCUGGGAGCGCAGGCUGUGACGGCACAUGGAAGAAGCCCUAAGGGAACUCCGUGGUUGUGGCUCCGGUGUGGGCUCUGGCGUGGACUCUGGCUCCAGGUCCAGUGAGGAUUCAGGUUCUGUGGUGGGGCAGGCAAGGUUUGACAUGAGGCCCUUGUCAGCUUCCACAGGCAAGGGAAGCGAGGAAAGAAAUCAUAACCAAUAUGUUCCGCCAGGCCCUGGGGCCUUCCUGCCUUGUCCCCAGGGUAACAGUACAGUUUUCUAAAGUAGUGGUGAAGAUGAAAUCCAUCUUCAAACCAUGCUUGCAAGAGCCCUACCACUGAGCCACACCGCAGCCCCUCACUGGGGGAUUCUAGGCGGCUGUUCUACCACAGAGCCACACCCAGCCCAGCACUGGGAGAUUCUAGGAAGCUACUCUACCACUUAAAUUCAUUGUACCCCCAGCCCCUUAGGGUAAUGCUCAAGUAGAAGUCCUGGGACCAGACACCAGGUACCCAGAGCAAGAUAAGCAGCUGAAGGCUAGAAAACACAGUGGAGGCUCAUGCCGUCCCCAACAGGGCUCAUCUUAGGAUAGCACGCAUCUAGGUCCCCAACAUCUUGUGCUUUUUCCAGGCUGCCGACUGACACCCAGAAGAACUGAGCUGAAAAGUUUCUGGGCACAUGAGCUUGAGCCUUCAUGCUAAAAGUCCUCAGCCAUCCGCAGUCCUCCGAGCUGUAGGGAGUAGGCACACUAAAAGCAUGAAGGGUCAGCCAUGGCAGAUGUGCAGGGACUGCCAGAGCGGCGGAGAGUGUCUGUGGUGGACCCCCACAUGCGCGCUGGCGCACUGGAGCCCACCAGUCAGGAUGAUCUGGCUGACCACGGGGCCGUGGUCCAGGUGCCAGGUCCUGAUGAAUACGGCGUGAAGAAUUGGAUUCACAUCCCCAGAACCCAUGUAAAAAGCCUGGCACAUCUCUAAUCCAAGCCCGUCCCGUCCUGGACGACGGGAGCUGACACAGAAGAAUCUCCAGCAGCCCCGGCCCAGCUGGCCUGACAUCUGCAGUCACAAAGAGACCCUGUCUCAAACAAGGUGGGAAGGCGAGGGCUCACACCCAAAGCUUGACCCCUGACCUCCACACACAUCCAUUCACACGCAAAUGAAUAAAUACAGCAAGUACAGAAUAGUGCUGUGUGUGACCUGUUUACGAUCUGGUGUGAUGGCUCAGCAGAUAAAGGAGUUUGCUCUGGUGUUCACUGUGCCAUGCGUAUCUCCCGCAUGCAACAAGUGAGUGUGUUUUAAAGAAAGAGCAGGGACGGAGAUGACGGAGCAUCUCCCUUUACCUGGGGGCAUGUAUUUGCAGGUGUGCUCAGGCCCCCAAACCACUGAACGGUACAAUUCAAUGAAUGGGUUGCGGCCAGAGAGAUAGAUGGCUCAGAGAUGAAGAACGUUUUGG